GUCAAGAUGUCAGGCAGUACGUCACCACAGACCGAUUAAUUUGACAGGUAUGUAUACGCUCGCUGUCAUGAAUAUACUUCCUAACAAUUUUUUGAAGGACCGAGAUCGACUAGUACUCUUGACUCGUUCGUUAUUCCGUCCAGGCUUGCUACCCCCCUUCCCCGCCGUAAGGAGGCUUGUCAGCAUUUUCAAGGAAAGAAUGGUCUGGACGUAUUGAUCUUUAAGGUUUUUUUUUAGGCUAUUGAUCUUUAAGGUUAAAAAUAUUAAUUGUUCCUAUUGUUGGUGUAUUGAGAAAACCUCAGAGUGUGAAUCCUGCAGAAGCUUUUAGAAAAAAUGUUGGUACACAAUAUCUUUAUGCAUGCUGAAAUGGAGGUGUCAAAUACGAGUACCAGGAUAUAUCUUGGUAGCACCAAGCUUGGUCCAAACCCUUGUGGAGCACGAGUCGAUCCUCGGGAUCAAACCGGGGUGGUCAGGCUGCCCAACUGCAAUCAUAACCGGACCCAAGUGGUCCUUAUUGUUUUUGUAAUAUUUAGAUUAUAUUUUCAUGAUCGUGUGCACUGAUGUUUGAUGUAGUUAGUGACCAAAAAGUUUUGCUUAUAUCUCAAACAUGAAAAAGAAUUGUUACUACUUUUGUUCCUAGAUAUAAUAAACUAGGCCUACGGAGGUGAAGAAACCCCCGGUACCGUUUGAAAGAAGAAAACCUUCUCACACAGGCCUAUAAAAUCUCCGAACCUCAUACCCCACCCAUACACAGCGACACCGCGGCACCACGUGAGAUCAAAACCGGCCUUAGACCUGUGCUUUGGUAUGUGACAGACGAGGGGAUUUUUUUUAACCCUCCGGCCUGAAAUUCGCUCCAAAUGGGAGUCGAACCCAGAACCACCA
rnacentral:lncRNA from 1 species